AAAAGAUUCCCGCCUUGUGCCUAUAAAACAGGGUGGAGGAGGACAAAGAGGCUAGUCAUGAGAAAACUCUUAGUUACCACCUGAGAUGGCUGCUGGAACUAACAAGGACUGUACCAGGGGAAAGGAUUGGGCCCAGACUAGGAAAGAGUCUAGUCUGUGAAAGAAGCUUAUUGGAACAUCUGAGGAGAUGAAAACAGAGAUUGUUGCAUUAUAUUGAUUCAUUGGAUAACAGAAUCCGUUACAUUCAUAAGCUUGGACUUGAAAAUGAGUAUUUGUGGAAUAAGGUACUACUCAGCAUGAGUAAGUAUAUCAGAAUCUUGCCCGGUAUUAAACAAUAAAAAGCAGACCAAAUGCACAGGGUGACCAAAGGAUGGAUUUAAGAGUAUCAUAGGGUUUUCUGUCUUAAAUAAAUAGGCAUAUGGCAAAUCUUAGCUGGGUGAAUAAAAGGGAAUAUUUGUGGAGAAAGUAUGUUAUAAGGAGGAAUCUGAAAGAGGAGGAUGCUUAGUGCACCAUGGGAGGGGGGCAUUUCAGGCAUAGAGGGCUUCCUUAGACUUGUGCUGACCAAGGUUGGGCAUUUUAUAAGAAUAUUUUCUUGUGAGAUUUCCAGUAUGUCAGUUUACAGUCAGAGGAAAAGAAGGAAUGCAAAGCCAUGUGAAGUCAUCUGAGCAUUGCAAAGGCUUUGUAUUCACAUCUGGAACUGGCUGAAGGAUCAGGGGCCUGUUCUUAUUUUCUAAACUAUUUUACCCACCCCUUCUGUACAUCAAAGAGCUUUGACAGCUGUCUAAAUGAAUGCUUCCCUGACAGCUAGCUGGGAGGGGAAGAGUCUGUGUUUAUGUCAAUACAGUUUGUUCCUGCUCUGUUUACAUAUCAUCAUUUACAGCUGUGUCAGAGGAUCAACUUUGGCUGGUGUUGGGUACAAAUGACCUUAGUACUGCAUGCAGGGGUAGUGAAAUAUGGUUACCAAUGUUGUAAUUAUUGUAGCAAUACAGGAAAGCAGGACUGUGCUUAACCUGUCCCAAAUGAGGGGGAGCACCCUUAGUUGAAAGAAUGUCAUUAAGCAGGGGCUUGAAUGUCCGAGCCCUGUGAAAGGGAAGGGAGGGACAGGGACUAGGACUCGGACUCAACCUCAACUUCAACUCAAACUCAAAUCCUGGUCAGGAGGGCACUCGCUCACCCACCCACCUGUUUUCUAAGUGUUCAAAGAAUAGAGCUAAAUAAUCUUCAUUAGGAGCCUCUUUUGUUAUUUUAAUUGCUUAAUCAGAGCUGAAACCAGUUGUGGUAGGACUGUAUUUCUGCCCUGCCUGCUAAGAGCUAAAAACACAGAGACUGAUGUGCAUAAGUCACAGCAGAGGCAGAAGGUGAGGAGUGGCCAGCAGGGCAGUGGCGGGGAGGCACAUCGAGCAGGGCAGCAGGAGGGGCACAGCGAGAGCAGUGAGCAGCCAGUGGAGCGAGUAAGAUGCCUCUUUACUCCCCCUCCCCCACCCAGGUGGGAGGUGAACUCUGGAGAUGCACCUCUGAACUCUGGUUCUGUGUAAGGGGACUGUUGUCCCCUUACUAACAUUCAGUGGGGGUGUUUUGGUUGCUAGCUCCCAGCACUAAAAGGGGAGGGGUCGAUGGGAAAUCAGGACCCUGAGACUGACAGUCCCCAGGAACAAUGGCGAGAGGCCAAUGCUCCAGGUAAGCCUGAUUGACAGGGCGGGCAGGCUAAUCAGCAUGACAGGAGGCCAGGGUGGGUCCCGUCCUCCGUGUGAGUUGGAAUUGCCUGGGUCAGACAGAGUGGGGCCGAGCUAAGGAGAGAGCAGGGGCCCAAGCUGAGCUGGAGAGCAGAACCGGGCCAGAGCCAGAGACGCAGCCCAGGGGGAGCAGAUCCUGUGCUGGGAGCAGAGCUGCAGCCACAGAGCCAGAGACGCAGCCCAGGGGGAGCAGAUCCUGUGCUGGGAGCAGAGCUGCAGCCACAGAGCCAGAGAUGCAGCCCAGGGGGAGCAGAUCCUUUGCUGGGAGCAGAGCUGCAGCCACAGAGCCAGGUGUGGUGAGCAAGUGGGGCCAGCAUAGGGGGGGCCUGGGCAAAGGGCCCAGCACAGAAAGACACCCCCAGACAAGGGCCCUUGCAGGCCAGACCGGGAGGGGGACCUUAACCCUACGGAGGGCUGACGCAGGGAAGAAGGGUCCCACCACUCAAAGCCCGGAGGUGUGUGGCCACCACCAUUGCAAGUGUCCAACCCGCAGCGUCUCUGCAGCACGGCCAGGGCCUGAGAAGGAGCCUGGGACCUACAAGGAGCAGACUGUGACCUGCCCUGACGUUCCAGAGACACUGUUUGUGAUGUUCCCUGCCACAGAGCGGGGUGAUGUGUUUUCCUUUAACCUUUCACAUUUUUCCUUGUUCUUUUCUUUAGAUUAAUUGUUAAUUAAAUAACUUGUGUUUGCUUUAAAUUGUACGGAAUAAUCAGUGGGUUAGGGAGGUGCCCAGUGCAGAGAGAGUACCCCGGAGUGGGGACACCCUAGCCCCUGCCCUAGGUGACCACAGCAGGGUUGGGGGUCGAGCCCCCCCAGGAAUCCUGGGCCCAGCCUUGUUGGGGUUACGAGGACUCAGACAGACGGGAGAGUGGAAGGGCAGGGAGGCCUCUGGGUAAAGGAAGUGGGAGCGGGGACUCAGAUCCUUUCGCUAGCCCACCUCACCGGGGUAGUGCAGAAGUCAGGAAAGUUCCCCACAAUAGCGGGACCAGACCCCCGCUUACAUCUGCACUGACCAAGGAGAGCAACUGUGAGUGGGGUGCAGAGAAGGGUCGGGCACAUGAAAGGGACUUUUGGUUGCUGGACUUAAGAACCUGAGAGGAAAAGGGCACUGCCCAACUUACUUGGGGGUGGGUCUUUUACUCAUGGUUUAUGUUUAUGAAUCCUGUUUGUGGUGUUUUCCCAAAUUAACUCUGAGUUACUUCCCUCCUUUUAUUAAAAGUUUUGUUUUCUACACUCGG